UACGGAGGGUGCAAGCGUUGUUCGGAAUCAUUGGGCGUAAAGCGCGUGUAGGCGGUUUCGUAAGUCUGGUGUGAAAGCCCGGGGCUCAACCCCGGAAGUGCAUUGGAUACUGCGAAACUUGAGGACGAGAGAGGGAAGUGGAAUUCCUGGUGUAGGGGUGAAAUCCGUAGAGAUCAGGUGGAACAUCUGAAGCGAAGGCGGCUUCCUGGCUCGUUACUGACGCUGAGACGCGAAAGAGUGGGGAGCAAACAGG
rnacentral:rRNA from 1 species